rnacentral:rRNA from 1 species
AUUGAACGCUGGCGGCAGGCCUAACACAUGCAAGUCGAACGCGUGGCGGACGGGUGAGUAAUGUCUGGGAAACUGCCUGCUGGCGGGGGAUAACUACUGGACACGGUAGCUAAUACCGCAUACCAUCAGAUGUGCCCAGAUGGGAUUAGCUUGUUGGUGGGGUAACGGCUCACCAAGGCGACGAUCCCUAGCUGGUCUGAGAGGAUGACCAGCUACACUGGAACUGAGACACGGGCCAGACUACUACGGGAGGCAGCAGUGGAGAGUAUUGCACAGUGGGAGCAAGGCUGAUGCAGCCAUGCCGCGUGUAUGAAGAAGGCAUUCGGGUUGUAAAGUAAUUUCAGUGGGGAGGCGUUACCAGCAGAAGAAGCACCGGCUAACUCCGUGCCAGCAGCCGCGGUAAUAC